AUGGGUGGAAAAUCACCUGUGGUUUGAUCAUGGUCAUGGGUCAGAGUUGGCCCUCUGAGCCAGCAGGUCCUCAGCUUAUAACACACUCUUUGCUGUGGGGAGGUGAAAGCCAGACUCCAGCAAGG